rnacentral:tRNA from 1 species
GGGAAGGUAGCUCAGUGGUAGAGUGCUUGCCUUGCAUGCAUGAGGCCAUGGGUUCGAUUCCUCAGCACCA